GAUGAACGCUGGCGGCGUGCCUAAUACAUGCCAGUCGAGCGGACAGAUGAGGAGCUUGCUCCUCUUGCGUUAGCGGCGGACGGGUGAGUAACACGUGGAUAACCUGCCUCUAACACUUGGAUAACUUCGGGAAAGCGGAGCUAAUACCGGAUAUUAUGUUCCACCUCCUUGGUCGAUAGUGGAAAGAGAUUUUGCUGUCAGUUGUUGGUGGCUCCGCGUCGCAGUAGGUAGUUGGUGAGGUGACGGCAUAACAAGGCAACGAUGCGUAGCCGAGCCGAGAGGGGGGGCGGCAACAUUGGAAUGGAGACACGGUACAGACUACUACGGUAGGCAGCGGUAGGGAAGCGUACGUUAUGGGCGGAAGCCUGACGGGACGAAGCCGCGUGGGGGAUGAGGGUCUGCGGAUCGUAAAACGCUGCUAUUAGGGAAGAAAAAAAGGGUAAGUAACUAUGCACGGCUUGACGGUACCUAAACAGAAAGCGACGGCUAACUACGUG
rnacentral:rRNA from 1 species